AAAUUGAAGAGUUUGAUCAUGGCUCAGAUUGAACGCUGGCGGCAGGCCUAACACAUGCAAGUCGAACGGUAACAGGAAACAGCUUGCUGUUUCGCUGACGAGUGGCGGACGGGUGAGUAAUGUCUGGGAAACUGCCUGAUGGAGGGGGAUAACUACUGGAAACGGUAGCUAAUACCGCAUAACGUCGCAAGACCAAAGAGGGGGACCUUCGGGCCUCUUGCCAUCGGAUGUGCCCAGAUGGGAUUAGCUAGUAGGUGGGGUAACGGCUCACCUAGGCGACGAUCCCUAGCUGGUCUGAGAGGAUGACCAGCCACACUGGAACUGAGACACGGUCCAGACUCCUACGGGAGGCAGCAGUGGGGAAUAUUGCACAAUGGGCGCAAGCCUGAUGCAGCCAUGCCGCGUGUAUGAAGAAGGCCUUCGGGUUGUAAAGUACUUUCAGCGGGGAGGAAGGGAGUAAAGUUAAUACCUUUGCUCAUUGACGUUACCCGCAGAAGAAGCACCGGCUAACUCCGUGCCAGCAGCCGCGGUAAUACGGAGGGUGCAAGCGUUAAUCGGAAUUACUGGGCGUAAAGCGCACGCAGGCGGUUUGUUAAGUCAGAUGUGAAAUCCCCGGGCUCAACCUGGGAACUGCAUCUGAUACUGGCAAGCUUGAGUCUCGUAGAGGGGGGUAGAAUUCCAGGUGUAGCGGUGAAAUGC
rnacentral:rRNA from 1 species